GUAUUUUGCAUUGCUUGGUAUAGAUUGUCAGUUCAAAUGAGUUCAUUUAAACAAAUUUGAAUCCAUCCACUCAUAAUUUAGAAGAAAAAUUUAGAUUUGCAUGUCCUUAAAAUGGUCUUUUGGGGAGGUGAUUUUUUUUUUUAAGAUUUAAUUUAUUUAUUCAUGAGAGACACAGAGAUACAGAGACAUAGGCAGACAGAGAAGCGGACUCCUCAAAGGGAGCCUAAUGCAGGACUUGAUCCCAGGGCCCCAAGAUCAUGACCUGAGUCAAAGGCAGACACCCAACCACCGAGCCACUCAGGCAUCCAUAAAAUGGCCUUUUUAAGGAGACCAAAGACCUUGGGUCUAUGAGGACUUUAAAGAUACUCUAGGUCCUGGGGGAUCCCGAGUGGCUCAGUCAGUUAAGGGUCAGAUUCCUGAUUUUGGCUCAGGUUGUGAUCUGGGGAUUGUGAAAUCCAGCCCUGAGUUGGACUCUGCACCCCGCAGGAAGUUUGCUUCUCUCUCUCCUCUCUCCCUCUCCCUCUCCCUCUAUGCCCCCUCGUCCUCCCCUAAUUGUGCAUGCUCUCUCUAAAAGAAGUGAAUAACUUUUUUAAAAAGAUACUCUAGGGCAGCCCCAGUGGCCCAGCGUUUUAGCACCGCCUGCAGCCCAGGGUGUGAUCUUAGAGACUCGGGAUCGAGUCCCACGUCGGGCUUCCUCCAUGGAGCCUGCUUCUCCCUCUGCCUGUGUCUCUGCCUCUGUCUCUCUCUCUCUCUCUGUCUCACAUGAAUAAAUAAAUAAAAUCUUAAAAAAAAGAUACUCUAGGUCCUGAAACCAAUAUUACACAAUACAUUAACUAGAACUAGAAUUUGAAUAAAAAUUUUUGGGGAAAAAGAUAUUCUAGGGAUGCCUGGCUGGCUCAGUCAGAAGAGCAUGUGACUCUUGAUCUCAAGGUUAUAAGUUUGAGCUUCACAUUAGGUGUAGAGAUUGCUUAAUUAAAUAAAUAAGAUAAAAAUAUUCUAAAAAUCAUAGUCUAGGGGCACCUGGCUGGCUCAGUCUGUAAGAACAUGCAACUCUUUUUUUUUUUUUUAACAUGCAACUCUUGAUCUUGGGGUUGUGAGUUCAAAGCCCAUGUUGAGCAGAGAGCUUACUUAAAAAAGAGAGAAAAUAAAUAUCACAGUCUAAAAUUAAAUUUUCUACUGAUAAUGGUUUCUACCAUUAUACACUUUUAAAAAAUGCAGAUUCCUGCCUCCAUCUCACUUUUUGAUUUCCUGCUUCUGGGGUGGUGUCACUGACAAUCUCCAUCAUUUUUUUAGAUUAUGGUAAAAAUACACAAAUCUUCACAUUAACAUUCACAACUGAUACUUACAAAGCAGGAUGUCAGUGAACCACAUCUUGAGCAGUACUUCUCUGAAAUCUCAAAGUUUGGGAUCCCUGGGUGGCGCAGCAGUUUGGCGCCUGCCUUUGGCCCAGGGCGCGAUCCUGGAGACCCGGAAUCGAAUCCCACGUCGGGCUCCCGGUGCAUGGAGCCUGCUUCUCCCUCUGCCUGUGUCACUGCCUCUCUCUCUCUCUCUCUCUGUGAGUAUCAUAAAUAAAAA
rnacentral:lncRNA from 1 species